rnacentral:lncRNA from 1 species
AAAUAUGACCCAAAAUCCACUCCUCACUUGGACACUGCUCUGGUUAUGAUGGCUGACAAGAAGAUCCUGGUGGUUGCUGGUAAUGAUUUACUGAUUCAGUCCGUAGUCUGUUCUUUCCACUCAACUGAACAUCUGUUCUGAUAGGCUUGUCUUCCUCUAAUAAGGAGCCUGAAUUUAGAAGGUGAUGAUAUGAGAAAACACCAAAUAUUCAGAAGCCAUCCAGGCCUGCUUUGGAUGUCUUUUGGGACAAGAGAGCAUGUGAGGGUAUAUCCAGGCUGCAAAUAGCACUGAAGAUGUCAUCUCUGUGGCUGUUCUACGUUCUACUUCACUCCCAAAGACCAUGAAUUACUUCAAAAUAUGCCUGAUCUGAUUUUUUUCUAAAGUACUGGGCAGCUGUGCAAACAAUAUUAAAACAGAAAAAAUAUUUUGUGCCAUGCACUGCCUUGAUUGUACACGCCCUUAAAAUAGGAAACAUAGACUCUUUCUAAAAAAUACAGUUAUAUCAAGACCUGCUUUUUAAAUAUCCGUAAUGUAUUAUUACCUUUUGUGUUUCUGUUCAGUAAGUAUUACAUUCACUGAGAGUGAUUUGACCAACAAUAAAAACAA